rnacentral:misc_RNA from 1 species
UCCCCCGUGAGGGGGCAGUCUCGCCUGACAUGUAAAACAGGCAACGCGGGUUGCGUUCGUUACCCCACUGAAGGGAACAACUCAAGCCACGAACUGACGACGACCAUGCAUCACCUGUCCAGCCGCCUUGCGGGGCCCCUAGUUUCCUAGGGCUUUCGUCUGGAUUUCUAAUCCUGGUGAGGUUUUCGUUUGCCAUCGAAUUGAGCCGCAUGAUCCACCGCUUGUGCAAGUCCCCGUCUAUUCCUUUGAGUUUUAAUCUUGCGAUCGUACUACCCAGGCGCACAACUUAACGCGUUAGCUUCGCCUCAAAGAGGGUCGAUACUCCUUAAAGCCAGUUGUGAUCGUUUAGGGCGUGGACUA